UAGUAAUAUGGUUUGUUAUGCAAAACCAGGAAGCUUGAUACAUAAAGCCUUGAAGGUUAGAAGGAGGCUCAGGAAAGCUGAGAACAUAAAUUAGGGCUUUGUGCUUUUGAUGGAGGCCAGUUGAUGAAUUGCGGGGUACAUACAAAGAAUGCAGCCCCCCAGUUUUCUUGAGGUGUUGACCAAAGCUAAAUGAACUACUUGACUUCAUUCAGAAGAGUCUUGCGCAGCUAAACUUGUUAGAGCAGAGUAAGACGGGUCCAGUCUGUAGUAUGUCAAAAGGCUUGAGAAUGAUUCUUUCUUUGAAUUUUAAUAGGACAUUUGCUUCUGUUUUGAGAGUUAUAGCACAAACCUGAGUGUUUCAGGUAAACCAAGACACACCUGGCCAAUUCCGUAUGGAUUUGUUUGUACUGAUAAGCUGGGCAAGUCCAGAAGCUGAGACAGACCUUAGAAGGAAUGUGUUAAAUUCCACUGCUUAUUUUCAAAGGUAAUUUUGGAAAUCAGAAGUAUUCUGGGCUAUUCUGGGUUUCAGACUAGACACAAAAAAACAAACAGAGGCAAGGCACAUGUUGAGUUGUGGUUUUAAUUCUAUUUUCAACAUCGUUUCUAUGACUUAGAACUCCAGCAAGCAAACAAGCCAACCAUUGAAUCCCAAACUCAGCAUUGAUUUUGCAGAGCUCAGCACGGAGAAGUUACAAUAUCUGAAUGGCAUUUUUCACUUAAGUAAAAAUAAAAUUAGAAAAUGACUAGCUGGCUGGGAAAAAAACCCACCAAAACCCUUUCUCUUGAUGUUUUAAACAACUGAGACCUUUGCUGUAUUACAAAGGAGUUUAGUAGCCAAUGGGUGAUAUCAUACUUGUUCACUCUUGCUCUCAUCUACACUGUAAAUCAAAGCAAUCUCAUAAAAGGUUAAAUUAUUAAGAGCAGUGGCCCAGUGGAAGUGUCAUGCACACAGGAAACCAGGAUGACCAUAAAAAGAAAAUGAAGCUGCUGGUAACCAUUAUAAUGUAAGGCUGAAUCACAAACGCUAACACCAAAGCCCUUUUUCUGUUGCAGUUAUAACCCCUGAGAGCUCUGUCGGCUUUUUUCCCCUCUCUGAAGGCAGAAGUAGGCCCUGUAACCACCCCUCUUUCGGUUUCUCUCUUCCCAGCCAUGGUUUCUUACGCUAACUUGUCAUUGCCCGUGAGCUUGAACAGAGCACUGCGUAAGCUGGAUGCAUCACAUAGCUGUUCCCAAGAUGCAAAAUCC
rnacentral:lncRNA from 1 species